ACCCAUCCUCGCCAUGCCCACUGACAACAUCAUAUCUUCACUGCACAGUGGAACACACAUAUAAGUGCAUUGAAGCUCCAGAUGCCUUCCAGGAGCAUGAAAUGUACAGCAGGAACAGGGCUCAUUUUGUAGUGCCUGGACUCUGCUCCCUCCUGGGGAAUGCCAGGCUCUCACCUCCCCUUAUUUUCUGUGCUGUUCCAGACAUCUUGGAAACUUGUACUUCAGUGGAUUUUUUUCCAAACGUGCAAAUAGAAACCAUCUCAAACCAUAAAGCCUUGAUUAUUGUAAUGGAAUCUUAAGGUUCAUAGUCCAUCUCUCACCCUGUGUCGGCGUGGGGAUUGGCACAAUGAAACCCAGCCCCCACUCAGCACCUCGAUAACUCUGAUAGCCACGAGACACAACGCUUGGCUUGUGUUCAUCUAACUGAACACGUUUUGUUUUUCCUUCUCUUGCAGACUUCAUUUUAUGGCAGAUUCAGGCACUUCUUGGACAUCAUCGACCCACGCACUCUCUUUGUUACUGAGAGCCGCCUGAAGGAAGCUGUGCAGUUGCUGGAGGAUUACAAGCAUGGGACUUUGCCCCCAGGAGUCACCAACAAAGAGAGUAUACAUUCGGCAGUGGUUCUUUUCGUUGGAUAAUGUUCCUGCUCUUGGAAUGGAGGCAUGGACUUGCUGAAGGCAAUGCAGAAACCACAGUGAUGUGAAGGUCUUAGCACGCUUUGGGUUGGUUUUGGUAAAACUUGAUUCUGCUCUGGGACAGGGAAAUGAGAUGAGUGAUUUUUCCAAGAGCCCAUCAGUCCUAUUUUCUGGAUGUAUCUGUACUGAUAAUCAUCUAAAUGAAUGCACAGAACUAGUGAAAGCAUGGGGAAGUGUUGCUGGGGGGGCAGGCUGUUUCUUGUGCCCUUUUCUUCCAGUUCAGAACCAUGAAACAGAGCCCACUGGUGUUCCUAUAGAUAUUAUCUUAUGUUCUAACUCAUCUAUGUGCUGACCAACAGCAGGAGCUUUAUUGUGGGUUUUGUUUGUGCAUCCUGUACCAGACUUCAGUCCUAUGUUGUGUCAUACAAUACAAAGAAUAGCUCAAAUUGGUGGCAGGACUGCUUCAGGAGCUGGAAGAAGUGGCUGUGGUGAAGGAGCAGUGCACCUCACGCACAGACAGUGAUGGAAAUGCUUGUGUCCCACACCCCGUGGGUCAAACAACCCCUUUAUUUCUUUGAAUGCUCACGUGCCUCAGCAUACGGAUGAGAAUUAUUCUCAGACAAAUGAAGAAAACUUGAUAUUUUUAUUCUAAAAAGCGUCUGCUUGUGUGGUAGGUGCUGCUCUGGGGAAAAAAAGCGUGGCUUUAAAAGAAGAAAAAAGAAA